rnacentral:ncRNA from 1 species
CAUUUGGAGAGUUUGAUCCUGGCUCAGGACGAACGCUGGCGGCGUGCCUAAUACAUGCAAGUCGAGCGCAUGAAUCUACAAGAUUCCUUCGGGAUGAUUGUAGUGGAUUGAGCGGCGGACGGGUGAGUAACACGUGGGUAACCUGCCUUCGAGAUUGGGAUAACUCCGGGAAACCGGGGCUAAUACCGAAUAACACAUGAAACCGCAUGGUUUCGUGAUAAAAGGCGGCUUCGGCCGUCACUCGAAGAUGGACCCGCGGCGCAUUAGCUAGUUGGUAAGGUAACGGCUUACCAAGGCGACGAUGCGUAGCCGACCUGAGAGGGUGAUCGGCCACACUGGGACUGAGACACGGCCCAGACUCCUACGGGAGGCAGCAGUAGGGAAUCUUCCGCAAUGGACGAAAGUCUGACGGAGCAACGCCGCGUGAACGAUGAAGGUCUUCGGAUCGUAAAGUUCUGUUGUUAGGGAAGAACAAGUGCCAUAGGAAAUGAUGGCACCUUGACGGUACCUAACCAGAAAGCCCCGGCUAACUACGUGCCAGCAGCCGCGGUAAUACGUAGGGGGCAAGCGUUGUCCGGAAUUAUUGGGCGUAAAGCGCGCGCAGGCGGUUCCUUAAGUCUGAUGUGAAAGCCCACGGCUCAACCGUGGAUGGCCAUUGGAAACUGGGGAACUUGAGUACAGAAGAGGAGAGUGGAAUUCCACGUGUAGCGGUGAAAUGCGUAGAGAUGUGGAGGAACACCAGUGGCGAAGGCGACUCUCUGGUCUGUAACUGACGCUGAGGCGCGAAAGCGUGGGUAGCAAACAGGAUUAGAUACCCUGGUAGUCCACGCCGUAAACGAUGAGUGCUAGGUGUUAGGGGGUUUCCGCCCCUUAGUGCUGCAGUUAACGCAUUAAGCACUCCGCCUGGGGAGUACGGCCGCAAGGCUGAAACUCAAAGGAAUUGACGGGGGCCCGCACAAGCGG